rnacentral:rRNA from 1 species
UACAGAGGUCUCAAGCGUUGUUCGGAUUCAUUGGGCGUAAAGGGUGCGUAGGCGGCGCGGUAAGUCGGGUGUGAAAUUUCGAGGCUUAACUUCGAAACUGCAUUCGAUACUGCCGUGCUUGAGGACUGGAGAGGAGACUGGAAUUUACGGUGUAGCGGUGAAAUGCGUAGAUAUCGUAAGGAAGACCAGUGGCGAAGGCGGGUCUCUGGACAGUUCCUGACGCUGAGGCGCGAAGGUCAGGGGAGCAAACGGG